UGCAGUCGAGCGGACAGAUGGGAGCUUGCUCCCUGAUGUUAGCGGCGGACGGGUGAGUAACACGUGGGUAACCUGCCUGUAAGACUGGGAUAACUCCGGGAAACCGGGGCUAAUACCGGAUGGUUGUUUGAACCGCAUGGUUCAGACAUAAAAGGUGGCUUCGGCUACCACUUACAGAUGGACCCGCGGCGCAUUAGCUAGUUGGUGAGGUAACGGCUCACCAAGGCGACGAUGCGUAGCCGACCUGAGAGGGUGAUCGGCCACACUGGGACUGAGACACGGCCCAGACUCCUA
rnacentral:rRNA from 1 species